rnacentral:rRNA from 1 species
UCGAGAAUCUUUCGCAAUGGGCGCAAGCCUGACGAAGCGACGCCGCGUGGGCGAUGAAGGCCUUCGGGUCGUAAAGCCCUGUCACGAGGGAUGAAAUGCGUGCGUGUGAAUAAUGCGUACGUUUGACAGUACCUCGAGAGGAAGCUCCGGCUAACUCCGUGCCAGCAGCCGCGGUAAUACGGGGGGAGCAAGCGUUGUUCGGAUUUACUGGGCGUAAAGGGCGUCUAGGCGGUAUGGAUAGUCGGAUGUGAAAUCCCUCGGCUUAACCGGGGAACUGCAUUCGAAACUUCCAAACUAGAGUACGGCAGAGGUAAGCGGAAUUCUCAGUGUAGCGGUGGAAUGCGUAGAUAUUGAGAAGAACACCAGUGGCGAAGGCAGCUUACCAGGCUGAUACUGACGCUGAAGCGCGAAAGCCAGGGGAGCGAACGGG